UACGUAGGGGGCAAGCGUUGUCCGGAAUCAUUGGGCGUAAAGAGCGCGUAGGCGGCCCUGUAAGUCCGCUGUGAAAGUCAAGGGCUCAACCCUUGAAUGCCGGUGGAUACUGCAGGGCUAGAGUCCGGAAGAGGCGAGUGGAAUUCCCGGUGUAGGCGGUGAAAUGCGCAGAUAUCGGGAAGAACACCCGUGGCGAAGGCGGCUCUCUGGGACGGUACUGACGCUGAGGUGCGAAAGCGUGGGGAGCAAACAGG
rnacentral:rRNA from 1 species